AGCAUAAGUCGGACCUGCCUCUCACGCAAUGGAUCCCCUGGCGGCAACCCGAGACCGGUUCUCCUACCCGCAUUCCGCCAAGUCUCUCGCUCUGCCCAGGACGCACAGAUGAGAGCGCUCCGAAGACUGAUUCAGGGCAGGAUCCUGCUCCUGACCAUCUGCGCUGCCGGCAUUGGUGGGACUUUUCAGUUUGGCUAUAACCUCUCUAUCAUCAAUGCCCCGACCUUGCACAUUCAGGAAUUCACCAAUGAGACAUGGCAGGCGCGUACUGGAGAGCCACUGCCCGAUCACCUAGUCCUGCUUAUGUGGUCCCUCAUCGUGUCUCUGUAUCCCCUGGGAGGCCUCUUUGGAGCACUGCUUGCAGGUCCCUUGGCCAUCACGCUGGGAAGGCCCACCUCUAAAUACCGUUGCAUUGGAAAUUAAAUUUCAACCUGAAUUUUGGAAGAGACACAAACCUUCAAACCAUAGCACCAGCACUGGAUCAGCAAGACUGGAUUAGACCACUGGGCUCAUAUCUGCACCGUGGGGAGUAGGGGAACAGUCGCAAACAAAAGUGGGGCUCUU
rnacentral:misc_RNA from 1 species